CCACAUGCAUGCAUUGCGGGUCCACUAAACAUGAAAGAAAUAACCAUGCUUGCCUCGGAGCUUGUGCGUGAA